UGGAAUUCCCCUCUCGGCCCUCCACCAGGGCCUGAGAACUAGGGGAGGCCCGUGGGAGGAGGUGGGGGGGCAGGAGAGGGAGGUGGCACUCGAAACUGCUCCCUGAUGUACGAUUAGUGCCAAGGCCAGUUCAGCGGCUCGGGGCGGUGCCCGGCAGCAGGAGCUACCCAAACCGCCCUCCCCCUUCCUCUGGUCCCCAUCCAGCAGCCCUGCUCCCCAGAGAGCUGCGCAUCUACAACCUGUGCUUGGAGGUGGGGGCUUUCCCAGGUGGUCUGGGGCGGUGGGAGAGCCGGGGGACGGAGGGAAUGGGCGAGCCUUCUGCAAAGCCAGAACCACUCUAGAGUCGCCUGCCUGUGCCGGCUCUGCUCUACCCUGAUGGCGGCCGGUACCCUUGAAACACCGCAGGACUUGAGUUUGCAAGGCAGAGGAGGGAGAGGGUUUGUGAAGAGAAGCCAGCAAGAGAACAAAGGAGGCUUUGCCUGAGAAGAGAGGGAGGCACCUUCCACUGAGGCCUCGGGGCCUGGGGAAGGCCAGGCGUGUCUCCUUGGGCCCGGGGAAAUGGGGGUGUGUUCGCGUCCAAGAGGGCGUGGCCCGCGUCCGCCGCGGGGGCAGCCGCCCAGCCCAGCCCUUACAGCCUACUUCGUCCCAAACCGCAGCGGCUUCGGGAGCUCUGGACCCCAUCCAGGACACAGAGGAAGAUGCACAGAGGAAGGUGUCAUAGACAGGCCGCCAGUAACCGGCUUGCUUGGUCCUGAGCCUCUCCAGCCAAGGUACCUACACGUCCUGUGUCCUCCUGUGGCCGGGAUCCGCAUGGCGUGCAGGUUUUUCUCGUGCAGGCGCUAACUCUACUCCUGAAGUUCUUGUACUACCUAGCGAUUUUUUUUUCUUGGCCUGUUUUCUUCAGUAGAGUCGGGGGUCUCGCUCUGUAGCCCAAGCUGGCCUGAAACUCACUUAUGUAGCCCAGGCUGACCUCAACCUCAGCCUGCCUUCCUCACCCUCCCAAGCGCCACCGACAGUCUUCAGCCGCAGCUUUGGGUCAGGGAACCUUGCCGUGGUCCCUCCCUCCCAGCCCCAGCCUCACCCACCACAGACGGUGGCUGUCUGAUGGAAAUAAACAUUCCAAAAUGGA